AAAGUCUUCCACAAGGACAGAGUAGUGAGAGGGUGCUCAGCAGGGGACUUGUUUGUAAUUGUUAGCGUUUACCCUUCCUCCCUCAGUGCAAUAAAAUCUUCAAAUUAAAAAGGGAUGUAGUGAAGGUGGUCUUGGGGUUGUGGACGGAGUGCAAAGGGCUCCUCAUGAAAGAAAACUGUCAUGGGGCCAUGCGGGGGUGGAGGGAGGGAGAGGCUUCCCAGCUCCCCCUUUCAAAGUGCUGUGGGGAUUAGGAGUGUUUCAGCACUGCUCUUUGGAUUAUUUCUUUCCUCCAACAAAAGCAUGACCUCUCUGUCUCUGCCUGUGUCUUGUCUCUGUCUGUCUCUGCCUCCCGUGGACAGGCGGACAAAGGUCAUUUCAUCUCUGGGGGAGGGUUUGGUGCUGAACAGAGACAAAGAAGGGAGGCUCUUUGCCGUGCUACUCCCUGAAGUCACAUUAUUCUCACGCAAAGCUACACACAUCUCUCUCGGAAGGUCUGGCAUUCAUUACCUGCCUUCUGCCAUAACCUUCAGAAAUAUGUGGGGAAUUUCAUGACCCGCUCCCCCAGCCUAAUCACCACAAGGGCGGGCGGUGGGCUCAGCCAGGCCCAAGUGAGCCUCACCGGGCAGCCCGAGCGGGUGCGGGCAGGGUGUGCGCAGCGGGGCGAGGGGCAGGGAGAGGACCAGCGUCAGGGCUGGUCGGAAAGGCGGUCUCUGGAAUGGCCCCGACGUCAGCUCUGCUGCUGAGAGAAGUACCAAGUGAAACUGAUAAUUAUCUACAGCACGUGUACGAACUGCGAGCCUUUUGAUGUUGGGGCUCAUGUGCGUUGAGAUAGCCAGCACAUCUUAAUCAGAUUGUCUUUUCUUUUUUUAAAUGAAGAUUCGGAGCGCUCUUAUCUCCCGGUCCCUUCCCCGCCUUUGAACUUGUGUUUCACUGACGUUUUCACAGACGCAGCCUUCCCCCUGCCAGGCCCCACCAGCGCCAGCUCACUGAGGUAAAAUGGCAGGUGCCGCUGGGUGUGCAGCCGCGGCUCUCCAAAACCAGGAGCUCUUCAUCUGCCACCGCUUCUCUGUCCGUGAUAUUGAAACGUGUUUCAUCGGUGGCACCAGGCAGUAGAAGGGGGAGACAAAAAGGAGAGACAAAAUCCUUGGAAGAGGCUCUGAUGAGUUCAAUAAAAUCCUGGCUGUUUUGGCCUUCCCUGAGCACCAGCCAUUUCCUCAUGGGUGCAGGGAGUCUCCAGAAAGCAAACCCUAAAACUCAUCAGCUCCGCUUGCAAAAGUCAGAGUCUUUGUCCUAACCACAAACACUUCACCAGCACCCCACCCGCCACAAAACACAAUAGCUCAUUCCCUCCAUGGUUCUCCAAGCUUUUCACAGAUAUUAGUCAACGUUUUCAUGUUAUUAUUACAGCUUUGCUUUAUUACUCUCCUUUUUUUAAUAAAAAUGCUCAUGCUGCUUUGGCCCAUUUUUUUUUUUUUAUUUAUAACCCAUUCUGUUUUAAUGGCUGCAUAUAAGACUGAAUUGAGGGGAAAAAAAAUGGAUAUGUUUGACUCAUUUCAGAAUCGUUUCUGAAAUGUUUUUCCAGCAGUCUUGAUGGCCUUCAUCCCCCUAGGGAGGCUCAGGUGCUGGCCAGCAUGAACUGACCUUGCUUUAGCUUGGUCCAGGAUAUAAGCUUUCCCUCUGCAUCACACUGCACUUUUCCUCCUGCCUCUCAUUUCAUGUCUGUAGGCAUCUGUUGCCUGUGACAGACAGGCACCUUCAGUGGGUAUGGUCCUGCCUGGUGCCCUCACGAGCCCCUCACAUGGCUGGGGAAAGGCCUGGGUAGGGCUCAGGUGCCUGGGGGACGGUGGCUGAACACACGCGAUGGCUUCACAGUAUUAUCUCACAGCCACACCAGAGUAAUCUCUUAGGUGGAUUAUUUCCAAAGCCACAACGAGAGCGUGCCAUUUCCAGAGUCUCGUACAAAGCACUUGUGGAGCCGUUUCUCUUUUUGUUUGCCCACCGACAAAGUUUGGUUAAUGGCCAUGCAAAUCUCAGCCUCCUCAUAAGAAGAUCGUCAUUGCACGCCUGUAAGGGCAAACGUUGAUGCUUGUUCUUGGAGCCCAGAGGAGCGUUAAGAGCCCGGCCAUAGUUCAUCUGGCUCUUGAGCCCUCUGAGCAGUGUCGUCAAGGGAGGAGGCAGCCAGCUGACAACUGCUGGGUCAAUCCCAGAACAGCUUGCCAGGGAAGCCUAUCAAGUCACAGUAAUCGGGUUUGAUUUAAAUCUUUCUCCUUCUCAUCACCCCUUCUGGAUUAAGUCAUCUCCACCAAAGACAAGAGAGGCUGGGAAGGAGCACAGACAUGCUCUUGUACAGGUAGGCAAGUCACCAUCACUUUUGGAUCUUAUCAUCUUCAUCCCAAUUUUGCUGUUCCAUUGGAGAUGACACUAAUCUAGGAAGCAGAAGCUUCUGAGCCCACUUAUUCACCCUGGGGUCAUCUGAUGGAUAAUGCAUGAAGCUCUUACCCUGGUACUGCAGUGGCUACAGUGGGGUGUGUGAUGUUUCAACAAGAAGGACUGUGGAUCCUGGCCCUUUGGGAGUGCACAUACUGGGGAGGCCAUUUUACAGAGAAUUUUUCCUUCAUUUUGCACACUGUUUCUCACACUGAAAAAAUGCAGCUCUUUACCUGAGGCUACAAGCUAGUACAGGCUUCCCUUGUGACUAAGCAGCACACUGGUUUGCAAUACAAUGCUUUCUGUGUGGAGCAAGGACAUGAGUGCAUGGGAGAGCUGGCAGAAUAACCUAGCCCGGGUCUGUUCUUUCAGCGUGUCCCACUGUUGUGUCAGGACUGAAGACGUCAGCACGGUGUUGCCUUGCUCGUGGCCUCAGAGGAGGAGGGUGGGUGGGAAAGGUUAUCACGGCACAGAUAAAUGGAUCUCAAUGACAGGCAGAAAAAGCUAGCUGAUUAAGUAAAUAAGCACCACCUUUGUUGUUGGUACCGCUCAGGGAAGAGUGGUCUCGUGGCAUCAGAGUGAGAGAAAGGGGAUCUAAACUGCCCUGGCCUUCUGGGGGGACGGGCAAAAAGGGAGGCUUUCUUUGCAACAUGUAGGAGGAUGGCAGGAAGAGUGUUUUCUCCCAGCCUCAUUGCUCACCCUGUGAGUGUGAGGGAGGCUGCUAUAUGCAAUGCAUGUGAUCUUGCAGAAUAAGAAGGAUCACUGAACGGGUGACGCAGGAAAAGGAGGAUUACACUGCAUGUGAUGGCAGAAGGAGGAUGGAAGAGCAUUCUUGCAGGCAGUGUAAGGAUGGGGAUUAUAAGGGAUUUUCUUGGGGAUCUAGGUAUAACAAAGAAACUCUACCCUCUGCCUUACACUUGGGGUCUCUGAAAGGGCAGCUGAGGGGUCAUCAGAAGCCAUCUCGUGUAUGAGUCUUGUAAGAGCAAGUGAGUAUGAGUUUUGGGGCCAUACCCAGCAAGGGUCACAUCACUAGUGGCAGGAGAAGGUGUGGUGGGAAGCUUAUUGUAACUGUGACAGUGACUUCUUCACCUUAAUUGCAAUAGCAAAAUUCUCUAACUGGGAGGGGAAGGCUGAAGUUUGGUUGCGAGUCUUUAGAAGUAGCAGCCUCUGUGAAUAACCCAGCAAAAAUGGUCGAAUUUUGGCUGAGUUAUGAAGUUUUGACAAUGAAUAAUUGCUGUUGUUUACAUAACACCCACGCACAAACCAUAAACGUUUGGCUCUUUGACCUUAGCCAUGACCACAGAGAUCUGCAAGAGAUGUUCUUCACGUCCUCCCUGCUACACUGCACUGCUGCCUUCCAGCUGCCUCAGCAAGGCUGCUCGGGGCAAGGGGGAGAAGCGCUGCGAGUGAUACCAACGGCAGGGACGGGGACAGACUCAGCUUGAGGGGGGGACAACAAAGCUGGCAAGGGGCCAGGCUGCAGGAAACACAAGAGAAAAUCAAGGCCCCAGGAAUAGAAAAGGAUGAAGAGAAGAACUGAAAGGAUAAUUGCAGAUGGGGAGAAUAAGCUGUCUGCCAGCUCGGAGCCUGGAGAUGUCCACACAGCUCUAGGCAAAUGGAGGUGCUCAGCCAGUCUGAAGGUCUUUGCUCCACCUGCCCAAGCAUAAGCACUGGUGCCUUCAAAAGAACAUCCACCUCUUACCAAAGAGAGAAAAGCUCAAAGGAAAGGGCAGAUGCUGGAGCGCUGCUGUGUCCUGCGUCCUGCUGAGGCGUGUCCCAUGCUGUCACAAGCAUUUCUGAUGAAAAAUUGAAGCAGCUGCUGAAGCUGAAGUGACGAAGUGAAAACACCUGUCUGCCAAGAAAUAUUACGGCACCUAGUUUCUCUCGCAAGGCAUUCGGAGCUAAGGUCAUUCCUUUUCCUGGCUGCCCGCCAGGUUGUCCCUCUCCUGUACCACCUCUGCCUUCGAGGUGCUCGCUGCCUGCUGGCUCUGCAGCUCGCCUGGCUCCAGCUGGCCCAAGCAAGAAGAAAGAAAAGGGGAGAUUUCCAAAACUUGCCUCCCCUGGUCUGAGAGGAGCUGACAAAAGUAAGCUGCAGAGCCAGGAGCUCAGCAUUUCACUUCAGCUGUCUUGCUUCCUUUAGCUACUGUGUUGAGUGCUGUUAUUAGACUUGUUGCUCCCAAAAGCAUCACUUUUAGGACUAACUCCAGAAUGACUAUGAAAUAAAGGCAGCUUACGAUCCAGGCAUAAUUCCUAGGGUUUCUAACCCUAUCAGAGCAGUUGAAUUAUGAGAACAAGAGGCAGAAACCAUCUGGAACAAAUCCUUCAGCCUCCAGCACACAGUGUUUUGAUAUUCCUCCGUGACCUGAAAGCCAGUCCAGAGCUACUUCACCUACCCAAAGCACAGAUGUCCCCAUGGGGGGGAAAGCUGUGCCUUCCUAGCACAGCUGAACAACCCUGCUGCAUGGGAAGAACUUUUAGAAAAGGUGCAGACUCCAUCCGUUAACAAGAUUUUUUGGUCCAAGGGCUUCGUGGGAUCUUCUCUUCACCUUCUGCAGGGGGUUGUGCACAGAAGUGCAGAGAAAUUGUCUGGUAUCCAGAUACUGCCUGGGAAAAUUGGAGAGGCUCAGUCUCAACUGAUUCCAGGGGAAAACCAUGCUAACAGCCACUCAGCAAGGCUGAAUGUCCUUGGCAGCUAUUAAUUAUUAUCAGCCCUUUACUUCAACAAAGUGUGUGAGAGGCUUUCAAAUGCAGCAUUCCACAAUCCCUGCACAAGCGACUAUUGAUUUGGCACAAAAAAAAUAAAAAUAAAAGAGGGUGAUAAGUUUCUGUUUGGAGUGGGCUGGAAGGACAGAAAUAAAUCCAUAAAGUCAGGAAA